rnacentral:rRNA from 1 species
AUUGAACGCUGGCGGCAGGCCUAACACAUGCAAGUCGAACGAGUGGCGGACGGGUGAGUAAUGUCUGGGAAACUGCCCGAUGGAGGGGGAUAACUACUGGAAACGGUAGCUAAUACCGCAUACCAUCGGAUGUGCCCAGAUGGGAUUAGCUUGUAGGUGAGGUAACGGCUCACCUAGGCGACGAUCCCUAGCUGGUCUGAGAGGAUGGCCAGACACAGUGGGACUGAGACACGGGCAAGACGCCUACGGUGGGCAGCAGUGGGGAAUAUUGCACAAUGGGCGCAAGCCUGAUGCAGCAAUGCCGCGUGUAUGAAGAAGGCUUUCGGGUUGUAAAGUACUUUCCGCGGAGAGGCGUUACCCGCAGAAGAAGCACCGGCUAACUCCGUGCCAGCAGCCGCGUUAAUUC